CGAAAGCCUGACGGAGCAACGCCGCGUGAGGGAGGAAGGCCCUUGGGUUGUAAACCUCUUUUCUCAAGGAAGAUAAUGACGGUACUUGAGGAAUCAGCAUCGGCUAACUCCGUGCCAGCAGCCGCGGUAAUACGGAGGAUGCAAGCGUUAUCCGGAAUAAUUGGGCGUAAAGCGUUCGUAGGUGGUGAUGUAAGUCUGCUGUUAAAGCGUGUAGCUUAACUACAUAUAGGCGGUGGAAACUACAUGACUAGAGUGCGUUCGGGGCAGAGGGAAUUCCUGGUGUAGCGGUGAAAUGCGUAGAUAUCAGGAAGAACACCGGUGGCGAAGGCGCUCUGCUAGGCCGUAACUGACACUGAGGGACGAAAGCUAGGGGAGCG
rnacentral:rRNA from 1 species